CCCAGCUCCACAUUCCUGCUUCCUGGAAUGAUUGCUGAAACAAAUCACUUGCACCCACAUCCUUGUCUCCAUCCGGAUCAUCCAGGAUGUUUCUGAGGAGGUAGAAGGCAAGAAAGAGAGGAGGCCUGUGUACUCCAGAAGAAGAGCAACCAAUGAUGACACAGAAGAUUACCCCAGUAAGACCCAGCACACGGACCUCACCGGUCAGUGGCAGCUCUCAGUCUUUCUCUGUUGUGACGUUUUGAAGACGACUGCUCAGGUAUUUUGUAGAAUUUUGUUAUUGUCUCUUUUAUUUCUGAUGAUUAUAUUGUGGUUAUGGCUGUCGGACAAACACCAUGGAGAC